ensembl:lncRNA
GACUGGAAGGGAUGGAAGCAAAGAGGCUGCCUGAGGGAUACACGAGGCAGAAACCAAUGGCUGCAAGACCAGAGACGCAGAACCCUCCGAGGAGAGGGCAGUCUGGAUCCUGGGGACCUCCUCCGUUAACUGGAAGAUUCUGCAUGCCCUACCCUAGACGUGCUCCGCCCCCAUGGACUAUUAGGCACAUCCACCUCCUGAACCUUGGUGGCCCUGGGGCCACCCCGAACCCCUCCAUCUGCAACACUUGGGCUUUUUGUAGGUCCAGAAGCAGGUGUCACACUCAAGAGUGACAUCAACACUGGUUCUGCCAAAACUGCCAAGAAGCACAAGGCUAUUAUGUAUGUAAGAGGGCCUGGUCCUUUCCCAGGAUCGCCUUGCAGUCUGUACCCCAGCACCACCCUUCACCACCAGUCAUGGGCUGUAGGCCACAUUCCCCUCCUCCACCAGCUCCUCCACCUAUUCUAUUUGUUAAGAUGACCUGAAUUGGAUGAGUGGCUGGUAAAGUAUAUUCAUCUUCACGAUUGACUUUGUGGCAAUGAUGUAGAGAUGGUUGUGAGUCUUGGAAAUCCAACUAUAAUCUACCUGAGGACACUGUAGCAUAUCUCAAGUUUCUCAGGACAUACAUACAAUAGGCAGUGUCAUUUCCCUGUAAUACGGUGAGCUAUAUGUUUUUCUUGUCAAAAUGAAAGAGGAUUUUUUAUACAAAAGCAGACGUAUCAGCAGUACUGGUGCUUAUUUUGGAGACACAAUGUUUUGGGUUCUGUAAAGAAUGAGGCGCACCCCUAACUUUUAGAGCAUCAGGUGUCCUGUGUGAAAGAGGGACAUGCAUUAAAUGAUGCGAACCUUGUGAUCACCAUAAUGGAAGCACCACUGAAGGAUCCAGUGCAAAAACGGGGAAACCUUGAAUCAUAUAGAAAUAGAAGGGAAGUUGAGGACAGUAAGAGUUUGAGGAGGUGCAGAGGGGAGGGUGUUGGGGUCAGUGAGAUGCAGUUGGAGGUCAUUCCUGGCCACAGCCUGAGCAGGGAGUGUGAGGUCCACACAGAGCUGCUAUGUGGGAUCACUCUCAGUGCACAAUACAGUGUUCAUCUCCAAAAUGUCAGUGUGUUGCCAAAGUGCACGCAGGUAAUCAUCUAAAAAGAUUGUUGUCUCCCUGGAUUUUCCUGAAGGUUCUGGAUAUUCCCAAGAGAUAUGGGGAAUUUAACUUGGCCUUAUGAAAAUUUUUGUAUGCCCAAGUUCAUAUCCCUCCAUGAGACUAAAAGUGGAGACAAGAUCUAGAUCAGCUGAGUGCCUGCAUUGGCCUUCAGCACGGGUCAACCUACAAUUCAGGGUUGGCCAGAAGCCAUCCCCGCUGGACCCCUGUCAUCACCAUGACUACAGCUUUGCAUCUCCUCAAACUUCUCUCACAAUAUCCUGAGGCUUUGCCUGUGUUCCUGCUGUCUCAGUCCUAAUACCAGUUCUCAGUGGGACCUACACAGAGCCUCAGCUGUGUUAUCUGUGAAAACAGGGGUAAUAUUUGUUUCUAAGAACAAGAGAAAAAGAAGACAUUCAGUGCAUAAAGCAUCUGCAAAAUCUCUGGGAAGUGUCCCCUCACGCGUCUUACAGUUUCAAUUAAGAUAUCUCCACACAGUGAUCCUCCAAAAAAGAUGGUCAUGGAAGUUCAUUAAACUAGGACUAUUAACAACUCAGCCCAGGGAGUGGGAAUCACUAUUUUAAACAAUAAGACAUGGUCUCUCAUUUUUCUAUUAAAAUUCAGGCCCUGCCACACAAAGAAAGAAAAGAUAAUUAUGAGAAUGUGUACCUUUAGAGAUCUAGAUCUGAAGACAAUCAUUUUCCAUUACAUAUAAUCUUACAGAUGCAGCCACACACUAAAGUGUUCAUCUGAGGCCACAGAUAAACUACAGAAGACAGAAUGCAUAUAGAAAAAUAUAAGAUCAGAGGGAAAUAAACCAAAAUCUCUUUGCCUUAUAGGACA